rnacentral:piRNA from 1 species
GCACACAGUAUCAGUGAAUGUCUCCCA